rnacentral:lncRNA from 1 species
AGAACUGGCAGCUGUUAGGAGAAGACGGGGUGAUUUGCAGAUGGCAGUCCUGGACUUGGAAGUGCAGAUGUGGGGCCCCAGGAACACUCAAGAGGGGCUAGUUGUUGCCGGUGGGAAGCCAAGCCCAGGUGCCUCCGGGUUCAGGUGACUGGAAAAGCCAGGGCAGGACUGGAGUAUUACUUAUCGGAGCUGCGUCUGACACCGGCCCGACACCUCGUAAAAUAGGGAACUGCGCCUCUCUGCCUCACCCCGCGCCGCUCGCCAGGCCACCAAGCCGGGAAAGGCGGAGCGAGGGGAAGCCGAACAAGCGGGAUCGGCCGUCCGCGCGCGGAGGGGUUCCUAGACUGGAGAGCAGAAACUACCCGCGUCCCGGGACUUGGCAAGCCCCGUCGAGCCCCGGGACACAACGGGGAAGGGAGAGACAAAGCCGAGCCGCCUCUCCUGGCCAGCCCGGAACCGAAAGUGGGUCCGUAGAGAGCCCAGAGUCCUGGGGGAACAGAUGGGCAAAGGGCUCUAGGAGGUGAUGGAACUCAGGCCCGAAGGGCAGGCAGCCCACAGGAUACCAAGCCUUAACGAACUACGCCAGAAGAAUGGGCGUAGGGCCCACAGCCCCUCACACAACCCAGGCCAAGCUCCCUCGUACACUCAGACCAGGAGAAGAAACAGACACGCAAUACACAAGCCCCGCUCCCUUGGAGCCUACACUUGGGCGAACACACCACUGCUGUUUGCAGUAUCCCGAGACAGGCCCGGCAGGCGUGAGCUAAGAGGCCUCGGGCCCGAACUUGGGAUUUGAGGCUCUCUCACAUCGCCGGUCCCAGCGGCAGCGCCUGAGGCACAGCCAAGACCAUCCGAGGUCCCCGGGCCGCGCGCAGGUAGCAGACUUCUUCAGAACUGGGGGAGCUAAAGAGAGAGUGGGCUUAGAGCCCAGGCCUCCCUGGAUCCCAGAUCCUCGCCUCCGCCUACAGCCAAGCCCCUCAGCUUUUGCCCAGAGCUGCUGACUUCCUCGCCGCCUCCCUGCGCAAUGGGACCUAGAGAUAAGCCCCAAGCCCGGGUGCUAGUCCAGGCAGAGUCGGGUGCUAGUCCAGGCAGAGUCCAGUGCUAGUCCGCGGCCUCAACAGAGCUGUCGGCUGGGCUCCGGAAGCCCACCCGGAACCUGAUGGAGGCAGCGAAUUCCUCAGAGCAGAGGACACUGCGGAGAGGCUCGAAUCCACUUCCCACAUUGUGCGGGACCGAGCGCGCAGGGCGCUCUCGCGUGGCCUCCUUAGCUCGGGUUCAGCCGAGGCUCUCACGUACACUUCGUUACCCCUUCCCCCCGCCGCAGCUCUGGUCCUUCCUUCCACUGGCUCUCUUCUCUGGCCUAUGGAAACAACGAACUACUUUUCGCCUUUCAAGGCCCGGGUCCCAAGCCACCUCCUCUGUGAAGCCGCCAACACCCUGGUAGCUGCCUCUCAGUGUUUUGCAACUGGCACGGCCCUGUCCCUCGGUCCGCUUCUACUAGCGCUGGGGGUGCUGCGAGUCUUGCCCACUAGACUAGGAGCUCCUUGAGGGCAGGAACCGAAUCUGAUUCGUUUCCAUUUUCCCAGCCCCCCUGCGCGGCCUGGCGCAGAAAAGACGCGCAAUAAACAUUUGCUGAAUUGAA